CCAGACGCAGUGGACGUUGUUCAUGAAAUCGUGAAGGAGUAGCAGAGCAAGAGGGAGAAAGAUGGAGGCGGUUGAGAAGUGGAGGCAGCUGUGGAGGAUGAUGAAGUUCGGAAUUCCAGUUGGGUUUGCUUAGACCAGAGGGAAGCUGGUGCCAACAGCAGAUGUCAGUGCCAUUAGGGCUGUGGCAAAGCUGCAACCUCGAUGGUUCAUGAACAGGAGAGGAGGGUUUAUGGCCGUUGCCAGUGGAAAGGAACGGAUGGCUCGAUAUAGAAGAAUUGAAGGUGCGUAUUUUCAUCUUUAUGGUAUGUUUUUAGCAUGGCAUGCUUGUCUUUCUGUUUUAUAGUUAUUUGGCUUCCUCAAAGAUGGAAGUUCAUGUUAUUUUACUGGAUGCAAUUGUAAUGGCUUCCUCGACUAUCUUAGCUACUUCCUGUA